UGGGGUGUUCGGCGUGCGGGGGUCUUGGUUUUGGAGGGGGCGGCCUCUGGCACCUGUGGCGCUGUUGAACCACCUCGCAAGGGGUGGAGGGGGAUCUCGGGCAUCUCACUAUCGGAUGAACCCAGAUGGGAUUAGCUAGUACGCGGGGUAACGGCCCACCUAGGCCACUAUCCCUAGCUGGUCUGAGAGGAUGACCAGCCACACUGGAACUGACACACGGUCCACACUCCUACGGGAGGCAGCAGUGGGGAAUAUUGCACAAUGGGCGCAAGCCUGAUGCACCCGUGCCGCGUGUAUGAAAAAGGCCUUCGGGUUGUAAAGUACUUUCAGCGGGGAGGAAGGCGAUGUGGUUAAUAACCGCAUUGAUUGACGUUACCCGCAAAAGAAGCACCGGCUAACUCCGUGCCAGCACCCGCGGUAAUACAGAGGGUGCAAGCGUUAAUCAGAAUUACUGGGCGUAAAGCGCACGCACGCGGUCUGUUAAGUCAGAUGUGAAAUCCCCGGGCUUAACCUGGGAACUGCAUUUGAAACUGGCACGCUUGAGUCUCGUAGAGGGGGGUAGAAUUCCGUGUGUAGCGGUGAA
rnacentral:rRNA from 1 species